rnacentral:misc_RNA from 1 species
AAGUCGUAACAAGGUUUCCGUAGGUGAACCUGCGGAAGGAUCAUUAAUAAUAACCUGUUUGAGAAGCAAUUCUCUUACUAACAACACCUUGUGAACUAGUAACGUUCUUCGGAACGGCCUUUGGCAAUCUGUGGAUUGUCACUGGAUCAUAUUAUACCUUUGUAAUCUUUGUAGACUUAAAACAAACUAAUUAUAUACAACCUUUAACAAUGGAUCUCUUGGCUCCUGC